AUGAUCCCUUUGGCAGCACAUCUACUAAAAUUGGAAUGACGCAGAGAAGGUUAGCAUGGCCCCUGCACAAGGAUGACGUGCAAAUUCGUGAAGCGUUCCAUUUUUUA
rnacentral:snRNA from 1 species